GAAAAUUACAAAUGAAAAAAAAAAAUCUCACUGGUAAAGGCAAACAUAUAGUAAAGUUAGUGGAUCAACCACAUAUAUAGGUAGUAUUAAGGUUAAAAGACAA